rnacentral:sRNA from 1 species
UCUAAACUGUAGAUAGAUAGAGAGCAAUACAUUUACUGGUCAGGUGGAUAACACAUCCGUUUAAAAUAACAGUAAUAGGUUCACCUCUGGGGCCUGGGAACUUCCCAAUCAUGGAUCUUUGCCCAGACUUACAGCACCACAAAUGUGUUUCCUCGUGGGGAGUGGACCUUAAAUCCAAUCAGAAAACUGUCAGAACCUUCUGCCCCUAUAAUACCUGUGCCAUUACAAAGCCACGGGCAGUAUCUUGGGCUUACAGCUAGAUAAGACUGUUGAUGAGGUCCCCUGUCUCCUAUCCCUACAUAGUACCAUCCAAUACUAUGAAAGCUACUACCAAUGAGGAAGCCCCUCAGUUAAUACCAACUCCAUUACUCUGUGUCCUGUGACAAAUGUGUGUGGUGUUUUCAUCUUAAGCUGGUUUUAGGUCUUACCCUAAAACUCUGAUGGAUAGCCAAGAGCCAAGGACAGCAACCUGUCUGAGUGAAAAAAGAAAUAAAAGGAAGAACAUGGCUCUCCCAAGGUGCGGUGGGGAAGAACGCUCAUUGUGGAUAAAAGGGAGAGCAUAGAGAGAGGCAGAGGCAUCUGGGAGAGGCCAGAGUGGUUUUAUCUACACUGAGCUGGGCCUUGUGGGGAGACAGGGGGAGGGAGAGCAAGAGAGGAGCCGCUGACCAAGAGCGGCGGCCUGGGCCAAGAGAUUGGUCAAGAGAACAAAGGGUAGACCAAAAGGAACAGGUAACCAAAAUGGCUGGAUUAUACAGGGGACAGAGGAGCCAGGGGAGGGGAGCCCAGGCCUUGGGCUGGAGAAUUUUAGGGUAGGGCCCAGAGUGUGACAACUGUACUCUGUAACAGGUAGGGACUGAGGGAUGCUGGGAGAGCCUGGUGUCAGUGUCUGCUUUGCUGUUAAUGGGUACCUCAGUUAACAGUUUGUUCUGGAUUUGAGACCUGACAGUAUCUUCUUUGGGGAUCUGUGUCUUCAAGAUAACUUUGACUAAUAACUCAGGGGUGUCAUCCAACCCCUGGUAAUAGGCUUUUUAUUUUUUUUCUGGGAGAGGCAUAAUCCUCUGUGAGGGGUAGUUCCAACUGUGUUCUAUUACAUUAAUAUGCACAUUCAUAUAAACAUCUACACUGCAUUUAUAUUAAUAUGUUUACAUAUUAAUAUUUUAAUAUUCAGACAUUGUGAGUAUCAGUCAUUCCAUGCUCACACAUUUUAGUUAGGACUGGACUUGGGGGCCAUUCCAAGCGACCAUUUGUUAAGUAAUCUGAUUCUCGAUGUCUGCCCUUGGUCCUUCCCCCGCCAUGAACAGGAGGGCAACAUUGCAUCAUGGUUCUCCCUGGCACGGACAGCACACCAAGUGUUCCCUAUAUUUAGCCAACAUGAAGUCAUUGCAGCCCGACGCCUGCCCCGUGCAAUCUCUGCUUUGUUUCGCAGCUCACGUGACUGAUGCCCUGACUUUGUACGUGACCUAUGUCCUUACACGGAUUGAAAGGGGCUGAAAAUCUCGCUAGGAAAGCUGUGCUUGCAGGUGACUUCCGGGAGGAGCUGGUGACUCAUGAGUUCAGCCUGGAUCAGCAGUAGCUGAGCUGUGACCUCCAGUUUAACCUUCCGUAAGGAGUGACACGCCCCCUUGCCAGGGACACAGAAUGAAUCCUGAGAUUUUGGCCUUGAAACUGGAAUUACAAUGAGUUCUUUGAUUUACCUGAUACGGGUGCUUAAAAUUGAACCCUGGUCCUCUGGGAGAGCAAUUAGACACACUUCACUUCUAGGCCACCUCUCCAGCCCCUGUUUGGAGUUUUUAAUUGGUAUCUCUCCUCCUGCCUGAAUUCUCCAUCAGACACUGCUUCAGGAGAAUUAUGCAUGGCCACACUUGACCGGCUUUCGAAGGGCCUCCUCAGUAGAAGAUUGUGUAUUUCGCUUGCCCACACACACACUGGAUGAUCUGAGGCUAGGAGUGUCUUCUGUUUUAGCCUGGGCUGACCUGGGCCUUGAGCACCAAACCCUCAGAGAUGGGACAAACUUUCUUUCUGGUUCCUUUGCAAGAAUGGAACCCCUUGGAAUCGGCCUGCGUAUGACCGUGAGCUUGGAGUCCUGCCCGUGUCAGGUCACCGCAGACCUUCAUGCUCACCGGCAGGGAAAGCAUAGAUGCUUCUUGUCGUCAGCCACUGAGACUUUGAGGUGGUUGGUAACACUCCAAGCAAACAGACUAAUCCGAAAGUAAGGCCCGUCUUGUUUUUGUUUUUAUUAAGUUAACAUUCACUCUUCAUCUUCGUUUUGUGGAUGGUCUUCUUGAGGGAAAUAGUAAUGUGUCUCUGACCUUUUCCCAUCCUCAGCACGUUUCUGGGGCAUCUCCCAGCAUGCCAGUUGCGUAAUGCAAAAAGCUGGGCAGCCUCUUUCUCACAUCUGCCUGACAGGAAAAUAAAUUAGAACCACGAUACUCCCUCCCCUGCCAAAGUCCCAGGGAAGCCCUGAGGCUGCACAGAAAAUUGGGUGGCCUUUGUCACGAGCCAAGCCAGACCACUAGCUCCAUGUAGAAUCUGAGAAUUUUAAAGAUUUUUUUUUUAAUCAAGAUUGCCCCUCAGUGAAGACCCUGUUCCCACACAAUUGAGCUCAAACGUUUUUUUUUAAACUAGCAAACAAUUCAUGCGACAUUGUCCACACUGCCCUCCAGGUGGCAGUAGAGAACCGCUGCCUGCCCAGCACACUGACGUCACCUUGUUUACCCGGUUUCGGGUCAUUUUUAGAUCUAAGAUCACAGGAUGUUAAUCAGGCCAAUGAUUUCCCAUUCGUUUGGCCAAAGGCCCUUGUCAUGGGCAUUGGGACAAGUAUGAUGUCCUUUUAGAUAAAGACAUUUUUGCUGCGGGAAGUACUUAUUUGAAAACAUUUGUAAUUUCAUCUUUAGGAGAUGGGAAAAUUGUGCAUGGAUCUGUACUGUGGCCAUUUGGGGUCACUUUCAUUUUGGAGCUGGAAUGUGAGUGGCCUUAACUGAAGAGAGGCAGAAAACUACAUAUUACAAUAGCGUGCCUUCUCAGAGACGCAGGCGUCUUUCUGCUUCAGUCUUCCCCUUUAUUUAUAUAGGAUUCAGCAAGAAAGCAUUUAGGUUUUGAAGUUUGGAGGGAAAGGAGUAAGAGCUAAUUUAGUCUAGCUGUCUCCUGAUUCCUGAUUCUCCUGAUGCCACCCUGGAGUUUAGGUGUCAGGAGGUCCCUGCAGGCCGCACCCAGGAGCCUCAGACUGUCCGUUUCCAACAAUGUGGCUGAGAGUUUCUCUGUGACUGUUAAAGAAGCAAAAUAAACAAAAUUCCUCAGA